CGAAGCAUUUCGGACCAACGAGCCUUGUAGCGACAUCUUGUGGUUUCUGACGAUAUAACGUUGUUUUUAUAUUUUACCCGCAGGAAAUCACAGAUGGCGCUGCAGGGUUAUCGAUGGGCCCGAAUAUUUUUAAUUAUUUUAUUUUCUUCAAAAUUUGGUAUAUUAAAUUAUCUGCAACAUUUAUUUAAAGAUUUAGUUUUGUUUUAGUUUUGGAUUAGUUUUGAUCAAACAAGUCGAUCGAUUGUUGUCGUUGAUUCGGCGAAUUUAUGGUUUGGUAGAUUUUUUCUAGUUUGGCAACUUUGUUCGUGGUUCUUGUGUCAGACUGACAGCUGGCUGAGCUGAGAGACAGGUUAUGGAAAGUGGGGACGUCGCGAGAGCGCCGGAGACUCCACUGCCGUAACAAUAAUGUGGGCAAAUUAAAAGCCACGAUUUAUCGGCGACAUCAAGAGCCGAUGUCUCGAUUUAAAUAAACAACUUAACCGAGAUGGUGAGUCCUCGCAAUUCUUCGUGCAUAUUUUUGCACCAACUUUGUGAUAACCUCGAGGUCCUUGUUUUCAGCAACAUCACUGAAAUCCCAUCGCCUAAGGUCCAGUGGGUGGGAUUAGGUUUCAUCCGAGCGAUGCCCAACUAUCCCGGAUGAACCUGUAAGUUAUUUUCUUUGUUUUACACUCGUGAGUUGCCUUGCCACGCUGUCAGCUGAACCACAUGCUAAUCAUUGCCAUUCCUUGUUGCAGAUGGGUUUUUUUUUUCUUUAAGUUUUGAACGUUUUAAUUUUCUAACGUUUUGCAAGUCUUAAUGUAAGAAGAAGUUUAUAAUUGGAUCAGAUGUUUUGUGAAUGAAGAUUCCUACUGUUUUCUUCUGCAUUUGAGAGUUAUUUCAAGCUUCAUUUCGGCGGAGCUUGCCUUGGUUGUUUGCACGUCGAAGCUUUCCUUUGUGCGGCGCGCAUGUGGAUGUGCCGCGCCUCUCCUUUUGCCAACACUCCGGAUAAGGCUCGGUGAAGGACUGCGAGGUUGACCGGUGGACGUGCAGCCCGCCAGCUGCGGAACAGUAGGCCCGCUGCGCCGCCAUCGUCCAGCACGCCCUGGCCUGAGCCGGCCUCAACUCAUCACCUGUACGGUAUUCCAGAACGCCUCAGGUAGGCCUGAUAGUCGGAGGUCCUCGAGUAAGUGAGGUGCCUACAGGUGUACGGACAGUGUUUUUAAACAUAGUGUUAUCCCAUGGUUGUUACGGAGUGACAAUUAACCUGACGGACCAAAGCGCGACCUGUCUCCCUCCAUAGGGUUUUUGACCUACCUAUGGUUAAUGAAAUUUGUAGAUUUAAAAAAUAUACAUUGUACAAAUUCAA